CAAAGGCUUGGUUCCCCUGGACUUUUGGCCUUUUCCACUAUAGCUAGAAUUACACAUGCAAGUAUCCGCCCCCCUGUGAGAAUGCCCACCCAGUUUUAUUACUUAAAACAAGGAGCUGGUAUCAGGCACCCCUAUAUAAGCCCACGACGCCUUGCUAAGCCACACCCCCACGGGAACCCAGCAGUGAUAAACAUUACAGCAAUAAGUGAAAACUUGACUUAGUUUAUAGCUACAGUAGGGCCGGUAAAAUUCGUGCCAGCCACCGCGGUGAGACGGGUGACCCAAGCUGACAGCCCCCGGCGUAAAGGGUGGUUAGGGUAUAUUUAAAUUAAAGCCGAACGCCCUUAAAGCCGUGAAAAGCAUAAAAAGGUAUGAAGGUCAAUUACGAAAGUAGCUUUAUUAUUCCUGACUCCACGAAAGCUAAGGCACAAACUGGGAUUAGAUACCCCACUAUGCUUAGCCGUAAACAUUGAUAGUAUAACACAACCUCUAUCCGCCUGGAUACUACGAGCAAUAUGCUUGAAACCCAAAGGACUUGGCGGUUCAUUAGAUCCCUCUAGAGGAGCCUGUUCUGUAACCGAUAAUCCCCGUUUAACCUCACCCCCUCUUGCUCAUCCAGUCUAUAUACCUCCGUCGCCAGUUUACCCUGUGAAGGUCGGAUAGUAAUCACAAUUGGCACUCACCCAAUACGACAGGUCGAGGUGUAGCUUACGAGUGGGUAAAGAAAUGGGCUACAUUCACUACAAUAGUGUAUACGAACGACACAUUGAAAAUAUGUGUACUGAAGGAGGAUUUAGCAGUAAGCGGUAAGCAGAGUGUACCGCUGAAGGGGGCUCUGAAGAGCGCACACACCGCCCGUCACUCUCCCCGAACAGCCCAUAAUACUAAUAUUUAAUUACCAAAUAUCUGUGCCUAGGGGAGGCAAGUCGUAACAUGGUAAGUGUACCUGAAGGUGCACUUGAAAAAU
rnacentral:ncRNA from 1 species